AACCAAAUUAUCACAUUAUCAAACCACAAUUGCAUGCAUACAUAUGGCUAUCAAUAAUUCAUUUCAUAUAGAACCAAAAUAGAUAAAAUUUUAAGAGUUUACAUUUUAGUCCCUAACACUUGGGAAGACAUUUGGUCUACCUAUGUACAUGCCAUUUUAACCCAAAAUAUAUACCUACUCUUGUAGCUCUUGGAGAUGUGAUGAGAUGAGAGAUCUCCUAGCUUGAUUCUAGCUCUUCAAGUCUAUUUGUACCUAUGCGUUGAAAUAAAUUGUUGAGUCGAUGUAGGCUUAGUAAGCGCUACGAAAAUAAAUGAAUACAACAUAUGUUUAAAAUGUUACUAAAAUACAUCAUAUAUUCACACAUGAACUUCAAUAUAACUAAACAUUCAUUUCAUCAGAUUUAUUUACUUUGAGUGGUUUUUAUACUUACCUUGAUACCUUAAAUACUCAUAUUACUAGAAUUCUACACAUUUUGCCCGUAGUAGACUAUUUAAAACAAUUCAGGAUAUGCGGAUCAAGUACAAAGGUGCAACUAUAUGCACAAGUAAAUGGAGAGCAUUGAGGUGCUAAUAUCACUAACGUGCUUAGAAACAGAGAGCGCACUGAGGAUCCUUAAUGGCAUGUCACUAAUAUCCUAAUAGUUCUAAUUCUGUCUACUUGUGCAUAAAAGCUAAAUUUCAUACAUUUAUAUACUUUACAUAAGUAUUUCAGAAAAGAUUUCACAUUUUCCAUCAUCCACAAUUUAGUUCCCAUUUCAUAAAUCACAAGUAUAAUGCUUUUUCCACACACUUUUAUUUUUCUCAACAUAAAUUUUCAUUAUUCAACCAAGUAUAUCAUUUUAUGUUCUUCACCUAUACUUUUCUUAACAUAUUUCAUAAUUUCACAACUUAGCCCUUUUAUUUCACAUAAUAAUAUUUACUUAAUUACCCUAGGUAACUAACAUAUUACGAUAAGAAUAUUUUAAAAAAUAGAUUGAAAUUCCUUGUAGUACUUACAAUAAAAUGGUUGAGAUGAUGUAUUUUCUUCGUCCUUCACUCCUUGGCCUUCUCCUUUCCUUUUCCUUCAAUAUUAUCUUCUCCCUUCUUUUCUUUUUCUUCAAUUUCAUAUAAAACAUAUAUUAAUUGUAAGUUAAAACUAAAAUCAUAUAACUUUUCUAUGCUAGUUAAUGAAAAUAAACAUGUAUGACAUGAAGAUUUCAGCAUCUCUUACCUUAAAUACUUGAGAUUACCACUAAACCCUACCUUUCUCUCUCCUUCAACUCCUCUAUGGAAGCUCUCCUUAAAAAACUAAGGUAUCUACUAGUUUUAUCUAGAGUUUUUACUAAAGAAACAUCAAAGAAAUGGAAGGUUUUAAGCUUGAUUUUGCUCAACAAUGGUGGAAGGGCAUGUUUGGGAUAAAAGCAAAAGUUUGGAGAAGAUGAGAUGAGAGUGACAGUGGCUUCUUGAAUAAGAAAGAUGAUAG
rnacentral:lncRNA from 1 species